UUCGAUUCUGGCUCAGGAUGAACGCUGGCGGCGUGCCUAACACAUGCAAGUCGAGCGAUUUACUUCGGUAAAGAGCGGCGGACGGGUGAGUAACGCGUGGGUAACCUGCCUCAUACACAUGGAUAACAUACCGAAAGGUAUGCUAAUACAGGAUAAUAUAAGAGAUUCACAUGGAUUUCUUAUCAAAGCUCCGGCGGUAUGAGAUGGACCCGCGUCUGAUUAGCUAGUUGGUAAGGUAAUGGCUUACCAAGGCGACGAUCAGUAGCCGACCUGAGAGGGUGAUCGGCCACAUUGGAACUGAGACACGGUCCAAACUCCUACGGGAGGCAGCAGUGGGGAAUAUUGCACAAUGGGCGAAAGCCUGAUGCAGCAACGCCGCGUGAGUGAUGAAGGCCUUCGGGUCGUAAAACUCUGUCCUCAAGGAAGAUAAUGACGGUACUUGAGGAGGAAGCCCCGGCUAACUACGUGCCAGCCGCCGC
rnacentral:rRNA from 1 species